AUAUUACAUGACAGGCAAGAAGAUGAGAACUUUCCCUAGCUAGGAUGGAAGAGAAUAUGACCUAUGCAACAAACACAUGGUUAAGGAAUUGCCAUCUACUUCAUGGCAUCUAUCCAAAAUUUCUG
ensembl:snRNA